CUCCUCAUCUUCCUCCUGCGCUGACUGUCCUCACAGCAGUCUGGGCUGCUUCCCCAGUCACGAUUAAUGACUGUCUCUGCGCCGAGUGUUUGUGCAUUUUGACUGGAUGGACUGAAGUGUGAAAUAUGAACGAACGGACAUGAACGAACAAUCUCAACUAAACAUCUCCAAAUAAGAUUACUUUUUCACUGGAGGAAACAAUAUUGUGGACACAGGACUUCAGGACUUAAUGAUCUGUUUGGACUCUCAUUCUGACGGCACCCAUUCA